rnacentral:lncRNA from 1 species
AGAAUCCAUGAGGAGUUUUGUAUAGAAUAUUUAUGAAAAUAUUCGUAUUUGACAAAAGCCUAGUAAGAAAUGGCGCGAUGUAAAGUUCGAUCCACAUCAACUUCGAUCCUAUUGGGGUUUGCCCUGCCCUACGCAAAAUCAAGGAAUCGUACCUGGUGCUGCAUCCAAAAGAAAAUGGCAUAGUUAGAUUUUUGAGAGAGAAACAGUGAUAGUGAGAUCAAGACAGGAGAGAACUUGAUGAUUAAAGGUACAUUUAUUAAGUGAAAGCGCUUUUCGAAACUUUAAGCUUUCACAUGAGCCUACCAAAAGACUCGCUCUCACCACCUGAAUAGAUGGAUUGGCAGUUUCUCAUGAAAUUGGUUAAAGGCCGGAAAAAUGCUUUCCCAAAUGGUGUUCAAAUACCCAAAUGCCCACAAAAUAAAUAUGAGAAAGUGGCAACCAAGGGGAAGGAACUCUUUUAGAAAAUUCAUUUGUGCUAAAUAAACAUGUCCUAGAUCAGGAACAAUGAGUUUGGAGUCUGAAAGAGAGCUAUCAAAGAGAGAUAUCAGAAACUCAUUUUUUAAUAUGUUGGGUACGUGUGAAAAUACUUUUGUAAAAAUAUUUUCACAUGAAAAAAUUCCCUUAUGUAAUUAGGUGUAGAAGUAUUUUGGGAAAAUUAUUAAUAACCCCCCAUAAUAUACUAUUCACUCAAUUUACCCCCUGCUGACUUUUCUCUCUCAUAUUUUUCCCCUCAACAAACUAUCCCCGCAAAAACCCCCUCAACGCAAAAAAAAGUAAGAAAGGGACAAAAAGACUUUUUUGGUAUUUCCCCUUUUCCUUCCUUCUUACCCCGUAAAGUUACCCAAUAAUUUUUUUUAACAGAAGCUUCUCUCGCACCCUCACGGCCCGAGCUCAGCAAGGCUUUUCUUCCCACUUUUUCUCCCUCAUGGCCCGAGAUCCACUCCAUCUCUCACUUUCUCUCUGUAGCCUGAGCCCCCUCCUCUCACGCUCUCUCUCCCCGGCCAAAGCCCCCACCUCUCACGCUCUCUCUCCCUGGCCCAAGCCCCCUCAUCUCACACUCUCUCUCCCUUGCCCAAGCCCCCUCCUCUCACGCUCUCUCUCGUGGGUUGAAGCUUUCUCCCUCUCUCUCUACGAAGGAACGCCCAAGUUAAGGCCCGAGCUCUCUCCGUCUCUCAACGAAUGAUACCAUUGGGCUCUCAAAAUCUGUGUCCCAACCCAAACCUGAUAGCACUACUUCGAUUUUUACUUUACCCCAAAUCAGCCCCAUAUAAGGUAAUUUUUUUAAUAAAAUUGUUUGAAAUUUGUUGGCAUUGACAAUCUGUUGUAUUUGAUUUGGCAUUGAGUUACUUGAUUUGGCAUUGACAAUGAAUCUGUUGUAUUUGAUUUGGCAUAUACAAAAUGAAAACUAAGGACCCCCCCUAAAUUGUAUUUGAUUUGUGUUUUCAAUAUAUUGAGCUAACUAACAGAGAGUUGAUGUUAACUUAGUGAAUUUGUGGGAAUUUUGUGUGUUCAGUUGUUGUUUUCGUUGAUUAAGCCCAUUCUAGAUAAUUGGAAUAAGGCUCGAACAAUGAUGAUGAUGAUGAAUUGUUGUUGAUGUCAAUGAUGUUAUCAAAUGCGGGUCUUGUUGUUUUUCUUUUUCCUUUUUUUAAAUAAAACAAUGCAAAAAUUGUUGUUAUCUCAAGAUGAGUGUUGUGAAAUUAGACUUCAUGAAAUUGGGAUAAAAUUGAAACUAGUUCUGUGGAUUUAUGGAAAUUUAGGGUAUCUAACUAUCAUUAGUAAUAUUCUUCAUAAAAGCAUGUAUUAGCAUGCUGCUAUCAAGGAAUUGAGAUGCCAUUUGCGCUAUUUGGGAAAGGAGAGUAACUACCUUAUUGUGUCAUGAAACAUGGGAGUAGAGCCAACUUGGAAGCCAUGACCUAUUUUCGACAUGUAUCAACAAUUUUACACACAUACUGACCUAGAUCCUUUUGUAAUCUUCUUCAUGCUCAGUGACCAUUGAGUGCAUCAUUGAAGGAGAAUUCUAUCUUCUUUUUUGUUUUGAGCAGUCACUUGUAAAUUUUCAAAACAUGUAUGAAUUCAACCAACACAUAAUUGAGAUUUUGAGCUACUCAUCCUCAAAUUGUUUUUGAGUUACAUGUAAACUUCGAUCAAAUUGUUUCGAGCUAUUGUAUUUGAUUUGGCAUAGUGACCUCAAGAGUUUUGAUUAAACUCAAAUUGCGAAUCUAGUUUAUGGGUCAUUAGUUUUCAUUUUGUAUACAACUUCUCUUAAUUUUUAUGGUUUCCCUAUUAUUUAUUUUCUUGUUUUUUUAUUUUUACUGAAUUGUAAAAUAGAAGAGCAUUGGAUUCUCAAAGGGGUAAAGCCUUUGGCCUUGGGAAUAAAUAUGAUCGAGUUUGCUCUAAAAUAGCCACUGAUUGAAAGUAUGUGUUUAUAUCCACAAAGUCAUUAGUGUUGUAUUCAGAUAAUCGUUGGGUUUGUUUAUUUGUGGGGUGUAAAUUAUUACAAAUCUUGUGCAGAAGAAAAGAAAAUGAGUGAUAGAAGAUUGAUUUAUUGUAUUUGUGGUGGAGGACUCUAAUCAAAUAUCGAUGGGACUUUGGACUAUAUUGGUAGUGAUGCAUGUACAUUUAUGAUUGAAAGUAGAACUAGGUUAGAUGACCUGCGAAAAUACGUAGCUGAGUGUUUCUCGCUAGACAUACACCUGAUAUAAUUGAGGUAUUUUGUCUUGAAAAAUAAAAGAUUUAUUGUGAAUUUAUUCAUUGACGAUGAUAUCGAGAGGAUGUUGAAUGCACAUAAAGGCGAGAAUAAUCUCUUAGUUUAUGUAUUUGAUGGGAGUGAACAAAGGGUUGAAAGUACUUCACGUAACCCUAGGGCAAUCGAAGAGGUCAGACCCCCCCAAUCCUCUAAUGUUUUGGUAUCUAGUUCCAAAUAAAACAAUGCACCAAGGUUGCUUAGUUCAUGGGACGAUGCACUUACAGGUAUAGGCCAACAAUUUGAAUCUCUAGAUGACUUCCGAGAAGCCCUUAGUAAAUUUGCUAUAACACACCAUUUCACUUAUCGUCUUGUUAAAAUGAGGGGUAUCGCAUAAGGGCAAAAUGCAAGGGUGACGGAUGCAAAUAGGAGAUAUAUGCUUCGAAGUUUGGCAGGACGAAUGUCUUUAGUAUCAAAACAUGGAAAAAAGAACACUCAUGUAAUAUUGGGACAAGCAAUAAUGUAUAGAGAAGAGCAUCACAAAAAUUUAUUGCAUCAUUAAUCAAGGAUAAAUUAAGUGACACUGCACAGUACAAGGCUAAGGAAAUCAUGAAUGAUUUGUCUCGAGAAUAUGGGCUAGAAAUACCCUAUUGCAAAGCUUAACGAGGGAAAUAAAUGGCCAUCAAAGACAUAUAUGGUUCGCAAGAGGAGGCAUACAACCAGUUAGCCGCAUAUGUAAACCGAGUGAUGGAGACGAAUCUUGGUAGUUAUGCGACAGGACAAGUAUGACAAUAUGACAGAUUUCAACAAAUGUUCUUAAGCUUUUAUGGCUCAAUACACGGUUUCAAAAGUGGAUGUCGUCCACUGAUAUUUCUCAAUGGGGCAUCAUUGAAAGCACAAUACCUUGGAAUUUUACUUACUGCGAACUCACUCGAUGGGGGAGAACAAAUGUUUCCUGUUGCAUUCGCUAUUGUGGAUGCCGAAAGUAUCGACAACUGGUUGUGGUUUAUGAAAUCUCUAAAGAUUGCUAUUGGGACUGAUCGUGAAAUCACUUUUUUAUCUGAUAGACACCCUGACCUAGUUGAUAUUGUUUGUCAAGUUUUUGAAAAUGCCCAUCAUACCUUCUGUGAGCGUCAUUUAGCAGAGAAUUUCAAGAAGGAAGUAAAAGACAUACCUAAUGAUAUUAAGAAGGCAGUUGUAAAAUACUUUGUUGGAGCAUGUACACAAGAGUAUUUUGACAAUAUGAGUGAAAUUAGGUCAAUUUUUUAGGUCGCAUUCAAGUGGUUCAUGAAAGUAUCGCCAGACCGUUGGCCACAUCACUCUUUAGCGAUAAACGAUAUAAUCAAGUAACAACCAAUGUGGUAUAACAAGUAGAUUCAAUAAGCACGUGAUAUGCCAAUUCUCUAGUGCGUUGACUUGAUUAGAAGAUAAAUUAUGAAACUAAUGACCACUCAGAGCUUGGAAGUUGAAUCCUGGACCACAACACAAACUCCUCACGUGCAAAAGAAACUGAUAAAGAUCAUAAAUUAAUCCCUUUCCAUUAGGGUCAUUGUGUCAAGUGAAGCAAUAUUUGAAGCAAGGGGUGAUCGUAUGAAUUAUAAGGUAAAUAUAAUUGAACGAGAAUGUAAAUGCCGUGGUUGGCAAAUUACGGGUUUGCCCUGCAAACAUGCUUGUAAAGCCCUUCAAUGGAUUAAUAGGGAUCCCGUCGACUAUUGUGAAGGCUAUUUCACAAUUGCAAAGUUUCGUGAAACAUAUUCUGAACCUAUCAUGCCAGUUACCUUGAUCGAUCUAUCUGGACGUGCGUAUGCACAACUUCCUGAGGAUGGAAUAAGAGUACUUUUACCUCACUCCAGACGACCCCCUGACCGACCUAAAAAGAAGCGCAUCGAGUCACAGGAAGUACCAGUGCGAUCUAUUCACUGUAGUAGGUGCAAAAGAACUGGUCACAAUAGGGCGACAUGUAAAACACCCACUUGAAGGCAUUUUUUUAGUUAUCUUCUUUGUUCAGUCUUUUUAAGUUGUAGCACCUACUUGUGGGAAUUUUUGUCAGUACAUAUAUUGGAUAUGCCACUUUUCUCUCUCUUUUUUAGUUAUCUUCUCUGUUCUAUCAGUACAUAUAUUGGGUAUGCCACUUUUCUAUCUCUUUUAUAUUGGAUAUGCUAAUGUUCUAUCCGUUUUUUUAUUGGAUUGGAUAUGCCACUGUUCUAUCUGUUUUAUUGGAUUGGAUAUGCCAUUGUUCUAUCUAUUUUAUUAUUAGAUUGGAUAUGUCAUUGUUCUAUCUCUUUUCUUAUUGGAUAUGCUACUUGUGGUUAACUUUUUAUGCCAAUUAUGAUAAUAUAAUUAGCAAUGCAAGACCCGGAACAACUAAGAGGCAUAGGGGAGCCAUCCACUUAACCCCCAAAUAUGGACUUUCUAUGCACUUUAACCUGGUCUAACUUUUCCUAACAUAUUUUUCCCCAAAACCAACUAUUUUAACUAAUACCCCCAAUACAAAAAGUUCAUUUUUUGACCAAAAUACCCUUCACGUAUAUAACAAAUCAUUUUUAGAUCCCAAUAAAAGGAAACGCUGGACAACACUUGUACAACUCCAUACUGCUCACUUCAAAACGUCAGAUCGGCACUUUAAAAAGCUGGACUGCCCCUUCAAAAUGCCGUACCACCACUUCAAAACGUCAGACUGUCCAUUUCUCCAAUAGCACAAUCCCUGAACAGCCAUAAUGAAACGGCAGAUUGCUCAUUUCAGCAAAAUAAGCGCUAGACCGCCUCUUCCAAAUGCCAGACCGCCCUCUCUAGUAAAAAUGAUUUGUUAUGUAAGGAAAGGGUAUUUUCGUAAAAAAAUGAACUUUUUGUAUUGGGAGUAUUUGCUAAGAAAUAUAGUUUUUGUAGGGGAGGGGGGGGAGGGGGAAGAGUUGCUAGGAAAAGUUAGGUUGGAGGUAAAGUGCCUAGAAAGUCUAUAUUUUGGGCUUUUAAAUAAUUUUUCCAAGAAACUUUAUCUCAAAUUUUAAAUUUUAUAAAGAGAAAGUACCUAAAAAUUAUUAGAAAGAUAAACUAUAUCAAAUUUUAUAGUGAAAAACUACUUGGAAAAUUUUUGGAUGGAGAAAUUAUCUCAAAAUUUUUAGAGAAAAAUAUUAUCUCAAAUUAAUUUAAAAAUGACAUUAUAAUGAAAAAUACAAUAAAAAGUAUUUAAAUGUUUUUAAGACAUUGAAUUUUGUCUUGCAGACACCCAUACCGGCUUUUUCUUACGGACUACCAAAUAACAAGAAUAGUCCACAAGAUUUCCUAGAUUUGGAUAGAAUUUUAUCUAGUGUACAAGGACUUGACCGAGUCCACUUAGACUCUACCGAGUCACUCAGCCUCGCCCUUGUCAAGUACCCCACGAGUUGCAUGUACAAUUGGGGCUUACAAAAAUAAAAUAAAAAAUAAAAAUCGUAAAUUAAUUGUAAAAACUUUUCUCUCUCUAACCCCUUUUCAUUCCUUUAUGUCUCCUCCCCCUCCCUCUCUCUCUUGAUGUGUCUCUUCCCCUCCAUCUUUCUCCAUCUCUUUCUAAUUUCCAGCAUACAAUCCACAAGUUUAGCAUCUCUUCUAUAGCCCCAAACUUCUUCAAUAUACACAAUUUUUGUUGUGAAUCUAUACCACGCUUUUCUCUCUCCUUAGUUGGGCGUCUCUCUCUAGUUGAGGAGGCAUAUAAGGUGAAGACCCAUGAUGAAUGCUGAGAAAGGGAGAGGGCAUGGGAGUGACAUGGAGAGCGAGAGUAGGAUAUAAGAGAGAGAGAAUUAUGGAGAGAUGAGGAGGGGAUAUAUGGCCCAAGGGGUGGGGCAAAAGGAGGGGGGGGGGCUGCAUUGCCUAAUGGGGAAGGAGGGCUACAUGGCCUACUGGGGGGAGAGAGGGGGAGGAGAGGGAUUGCAAGAUCCAUGGGAGGCCACAUGCUUGGAAAUGUGGCCCAAAAGGGGUCACAUGCCUAGGCACGUGACCAGAACUUCCCUAGCCCAUCUCUCAUCCUUUCUUUCUUUUUUUUCCUGGAAAUAGUGUUCUACUUGAGCGAGUAACUCAGCUCGAGUCAAGGCCGAGUCCUUGGCCCAUGCUGAGGUUCGAAAAAUUGAAUUUAUCUAUGGAAAAACUUUACUUAUUCAACAUCAAACCUAUACCAUCAUUUUGCAUAUUGAAUAAUCUUUCGAAUGAUCUAAAGAUCACAUGAAUCUUAUAAAUCCUUCAAAACUGACGACCAUUUUAUUGCACACGACCAGUGUGAGAAAUCACGUUAGCUAGGCUUGGCACGUCUUGUAGUGUCGUGCAUGGCCCAAGAUGCACUGUAUACAUGCCAAAUUAUUUUGUACAAGUAUAAAAUUGCAUAGACACAUUAAAAAUCACUUAGAAUGUUGUAAAUGAGCUUUAUAAUGUUGCAAGACAUAAUUUUAAUAUGUUAGUGGUCAGGUUUUGGUUGUUGAUUGUGUUGGACUAGGGUGGUCUACCUUUAAUGGGUCGGUGGAUCCCCAUGGUAUUACUUUAUUCGUUACGGGUUGACAAAAGAGGGGAUUUUUUUUAUUGAAAUUGUUGUGUAAAAUGCUAUUCAAAUAGAUAUGGAUAGCUACUUGUAGUUAUUUGAAUAAACAAUGUGGGGAGAAUAAGUGGGACCAGGUUGUUGUAGAGAUAGAAAGGUUGGUUUUUUGGUGAAUUGCACGUAGCUCUUUUGAGACCCUCUCACCUCUCUCUUAGAAGCUCCUAUUGCACCCCCACGUCCAUUUUCUCUCUUGCAUUUUCUCUCUUGCCCAUCCAACCCUACGUAUCCCCUUCUAGCGAAGCGAGUAUUCUCGAGCCAUCCAUUAAAUAGCUCUACUUUGCAUUGUGAACUUUCCUCCUGGUUCUUAUAGUCAAAAGAGGGUGACCUAAAGGGAUAGGAUCCAACUCUUGAUACUCAUAAAGGGGUAAAUCAAUUUAAAAGGGAUAUCAGAUCCGCAGAAGUUGUGUACCUCUAUUUUUGAGUUUUUAUUGUAGCUUUCGCUACAAUAGGCUGCCUAGGGUGUCCAGCAUUGGAGGUUCGCUCUCAUAUUUGAUUGUUUUUAAAGUGGAUUCAUAGAGUUUCGCUCACAAAUCUGAUUAUUGUGAUGCAGGUUCACUCUCGCAGCGAGGCACAAGACGGCACUUCUGACCGUUGUGCCAAGCACCUUCAGAUGCAAAUGGAGACGAUCAAUGGUAGAUCAAGGACUUCGUCAAAUUACAGUCCAAGAGAGAAACUAGUCUAAGAACCGCUCUAUCACGGACCACCUGCAGUUGCUGGCUUAUCGAGCAGAAAAACAGAAAAUCCUCAAAGAAGAAGUUUUGAAAAUUUUAGUGCAAAGAGGGCAAGAGAUUUUAAAAAUGCUUUCGAAAAAGAACUAAAACUAAACUAAACUGAUCAUGCAAAUCAAAUAAAACAUAAAGAAAGAAACAGACUUACUUGGAAACCAGGCCCACAGGCCCGGCAGCUAAAAUCAGUGGACCUGGUUCAGAAAUCGUGCGACUAACUUUCUUAUGUUCCUUAGAGUUUGCCGGACAGGAGUGACUAGUUUCAAAGUUGAGUUUGAAUAUUCGACAGUAUAGGUCUAGGUCAUAGGAAGUUAUUCUAGGGGUGGGCCUCUAAGGUGUAUGGUGAUGGUAUCAUAGUUUGGAAGCCAUAGGAAUUGGUGUACGGUUAGGUUGGGCCGACUGGAGUCCUGCAAUGGAUUCAUGGUCUGUGGGGGCUUAGAAAUUAGGAUUAAGAUACUUACGGUUUCUAAGGGUCUUAGGACUAAGUCUAUGGUGCAGCAGGGCUUCGCCUAGAAUCUAUGGCUUAGGGGUCCUGGAAAUCGAUGGUGGGGUCCCUACUUAUAUAGAAGUACCCUGGUAACUGCUCUAAAAAUUGUGGCAAAAUUAGGACCAUUGGUCAUCCGCGACAAAGGUUUUGCCACUAGCGUUAAAGGCUUUGAUUGCAAACAACCGUGGGCCCCACAGUCACUUGUCCUCUUGUGUCCAUUGGAGCAUUUUUAGGACGUCGGUGUGAGUGUUUGAGGUCGUCUUAGUGGGAUAACUUGCAUAGGUUUAGGUUAGAUUAGGUAAUUUUUAAGUGGCUUAAGGCUUCAUUAGGUAAGUUUAGUCCUGUUUUAUAAGGUUUUAAGAGAGUAUUAGCCUAAAUUAGGAGGUUGAAGGAGGGCUUAAGUCAUUUAAAAAAGGUUGUAAGUAAACUAGAGUUCCGUACAGUUCCAACUAAGGUAAGAUCUCCUCAAAGGGAAGAAAUUUGAUGGCAAGAACUACAACAUAUGGCAUCAUAAGAUUUACUACUUACUUGAGGAUUAAGUGUGCUUGAACACUAGACCACUAGCACGACUCUCCCAAGGGAUCUCUAUUCAGGUACAUUAUGAGCUCAAAAGAGAUCAUUGUGUACACUUCAUAUUCAUAACGAUGUGUAGCGUGCAAAAAGACCUG